rnacentral:rRNA from 1 species
AGCUAAUACAUGCUAAAAACCUCGACUUCGGAAGGGGUGUAUUUAUUAGAUAAAAAACCAAUGCCCUUCGGGGCUGCUUGGUGAUUCAUAAUAACUUAACGAAUCGCAUGGCCUUGCGCCGGCGAUGGUUCAUUCAAAUUUCUGCCCUAUCAACUUUCGAUGGUAAGGUAGUGGCUUACCAUGGUCUCAACGGGUAACGGGGAAUUAGGGUUCUAUUCCGGAGAGGGAGCCUGAGAAACGGCUACCACAUCCAAGGAAGGCAGCAGGCGCGCAAAUUACCCAAUACUAAUUCAGUGAGGUAGUGACAAUAAAUACUGAUACGGGGCUCUUUCGGGUCUCGUAAUUGGAAUGAGUACAAUCUAAAUCCCUUAACGAGGAACAAUUGGAGGGCAAGUCUGGUGCCAGCAGCCGCGGUAAUUCCAGCUCCAAUAGCGUAUAUUAAAGUUGUUGCCGUUAAAAAGCUCGUAGUUGAACCUUGGACCUGGCUGAUCUGUCCUCCUAAUCGAGCGUACGGAUUCGGUCGGGUCUUUUCUUCUGGGGAGCCUUAUGCCCUUCACUGGGUGUAAUGGGGAACCAGGACUUUUACCUUGAAAAAAUUAGAGUGUUCAAAGCAGGCCUUUGCUCGAAUACAUUAGCAUGGAAUAAUAGAAUAGGACAUCGGUUCUAUUUUGUUGGUUUCUAGGACCGCUGUAAUGAUUAAUAGGGAUAGUCGGGGGCGUCCGUAUUCAAUUGUCAGAGGUGAAAUUCUUGGAUUUAUUGAAGACGAACUACUGCGAAAGCAUUCGCCAAGGAUGUUUUCAUUAAUCAGUGAACGAAAGUUAGGGGAUCGAAGACGAUCAGAUACCGUCGUAGUCUUAACCAUAACUAUGCCGACUAGGAUNNNNNNNNNNNNNNNNNNNNNNNNNNNNNNNNNNNNNNNNNNNNNNNNNNGGCACCUUACGAGAAAUCAAAGUGUUUGGGCUCGGGGGGGAGUAUGGUCGCAAGGCUGAAACUUAAAGAAAUUGACGGAAGGGCACCACAAGGCGUGGAGCCUGCGGCUUAAUUUGACUCAACACGGGGAAACUCACCAGGUCCAGACAUGCUUAGGAUUGACAGAUUGAUAGCUCUUUCUUGAUUGUAUGGGUGGUGGUGCAUGGCCGUUCUUAGUUGGUGGAGUGAUUUGUCUGCCUAAUCGCGAUAACGAACGAGACCUUGACCUGCUAAAUAGCCCGAUUGACUUUUGUCGGUCGCUGGCUUCUUAGAGGGACUUUUGGCUCAAGCCAAUGGAAGUACGAGGCAAUAACAGGUCUGUGAUGCCCUUAGAUGUUCUGGGCUGCACGCGCGCUACACUGACAGAGCCAGCGAGUACAUCACCUUGGCCGAAAGGUCUGGGUAAUCUUGUUAAACUCUGUCGUGCUGGGGAUAGAGCAUUGCAAUUAUUGCUCUUCAACGAGGAAUGCCUAGUAAGCGCAAGUCAUCAGCUUGCGUUGAUUACGUCCCUGCCCUUUGUACACACCGCCCGUCGCUACUACCGAUUGAAUGGCUCAGUGAGGCCUUGGGACUGGCUCAGAAAGGUCGGCAACGACCAUCAGAGCC